ACAGCCUCGACCACUUCCCCAUAAGUUCUGAAAUAUUCCUUCAGACGAUCUUCAUUUGUAUCCCAAGAAAUUCCACCGAUGAAGAGCUUGCCAAGAUCCGAUUCCAUUUUCUGCAAUCCUAAACGAAAGUUUCUUAUCUAAGAAAGCAC